GCGGGAGUAGCUCAGUUGGUAGAGCGCAACCUUGCCAAGGUUGAGGUCGCGAGUUCGAGACUCGUCUUCCGCUCCA
rnacentral:tRNA from 1 species